GUGUAGGUGAUUGAAUUGGGUGGAAUCCGAUGCCUUCAGCCUUCUUGAAGAUCUUGCAGACGACACACAGUCUUGGCUACUCUUUUGGCAGCCCGUUGUACGAUGAGAUCAUCACAUUGUGUUUGGACCUUGGAGAACUUGAUGCAGCCAUUGCCAUAAUUGCAGAUAUGGAAACCACAGGGGUCGAUGUCCCUGAUCAAACCAUUGACAAGGUCAUAUCUGCUAGACAAUCCAAUGAGAAUCCCCGGUCUGAGCCUAAAGAACCACCAUCAACAGGAAGCUCUAAGUAUAUUUUUCUUCGGCUGCUUUCUGUGAAGCUCCCUAUAAGAAACAUGAAUUAGAAGACGCACGCAGCUGAAUCUGUCUUUAGUUAUGAAAGUUUUGUUCAUUAUCUGCAAAAAAAAAAAAAACCACUAGAGAGUUUAAUUUGAAG